UACGGGGGGGACAAGCGUUGUUCGGAUUUACUGGGCGUAAAGGGCGCGUAGGCGGGCCUUCAAGUCGGGUGUGAAAUCUGGUGGCUUAACUGUCAGUCUGCAUUCGAUACUGUUGGUCUUGAGUACGGGAGAGGAGAGUGGAAUUCCAGGUGUAGCGGUGAAAUGCGUAGAUAUCUGGAAGAACACCAGUAGCGAAGGCGGCUCUCUGGACCGAUACUGACGCUCAAGCGCGAAGGCUUGGGGAGCAAACAGG
rnacentral:rRNA from 1 species